rnacentral:rRNA from 1 species
UACGGAGGGAACUAGCGUUGUUCGGAAUUACUGGGCGUAAAGCGCACGUAGGCGGCUUUGUAAGUUAGAGGUGAAAGCCCGGGGCUCAACUCCGGAACUGCCUUUAAGACUGCAUCGCUUGAAUCCAGGAGAGGUGAGUGGAAUUCCGAGUGUAGAGGUGAAAUUCGUAGAUAUUGGGAGGAACAUCGGUGGCGAAGGCGGCCAUCUGGGAAGUAACUGACGCUGAGACGCGGAAAGCGUGGGUAGCAAACAGG